rnacentral:misc_RNA from 1 species
AAGCAGUCAUGAGAUGCCGAAUGUGUAACAACGAUAAACUCUCUAAAGAGUUUCCACCAGUUACAGUGAGUAAAAAAUGUCAGCACCCACCUCUUGUGUGUUUGAAGAUACUCACUGUCCAUCUUUGAGCUGUGGACAGUUAAUUCAAGAUGAUAGGAGGGAAUGGUUCCAAGCUAUUUGGGACAAACAGUUUGCAGAAUACAAGUCAUCCGAUGUUUCUGUUUUUGAGACGGAGCCUGGUGAGUGCAAAGUUUUGCAUGUUACAGUUCUGAAUGGAGAUGCAGCAGAAAUUGAAUUCAAUGACUCAUGGACGAUCAUGAGAAUGAUGACAGAGAUAAAGAAAAUCAUGAAGUUCGACAUCAAUGAGCAAAGGCUUCUUUAUUCAGGAGUGGAACUAACUACAAAACUUCCUGAUUCGAAACCAGCUACUUUGAAAGACUUCUCUGUAAAACCAAAUUCUACAGUACAACUUGUUAAGUUGCUUUAUGCGAUUCCGCAGGACAUUAAUAAAGUAGUUUUUGAUUUGAAUUGGCAAUAUCCGAAUGAUACAGAUCUUUUAGAGGGAACUGAAAAGAGAGAUUAUCUUGAUGCCUCGUGCCUAAUAUUUGAGGGAGAAAAAUGUGCAAGAACGAUAGAUUUUGUUCAAAAAAACCCUUUGAUGUUGGCCAUGUUAAAUAAACAUAAAGGCAUUAAGAAAAAAGAAUGGGGAGUGAAGCAUUCGGGGGAUCGCAUGGAUGACAGGAAAAGAAUUGGCCAUCAUCUCAUUGAUGUGUCAAUUGAAGACAUUCCUACAGAAGUUACCAACUUAUUCUUUAUUCUUAGUGCAUGGAAUGCUCCAACCAUUUCCAGGUAUCCAAAUCCAAGUCUAAGUUUUUAUGAGAAGUCAACACCAGAAGCCAACUUGUGCAGUACAACGUUCACACAUGCCUCUGACUAUUCUGCUGUGAUCAUGUGUUCUCUUUCACGUACGAGAAAUGGAUGGGUUGUAUACGAAAAUGGACAAACGUCCAAUGGAAAUGCAAAAGAUUAUAAUCCAAUUAAGCAAACUGUUCAAAAGCUUAUCCAAGAAGGAUUUUAAUCUGCAAAUGAACUCUGAAUCAUAUUAAACCUUUGAUCAAACGUCAAAUAAAAAACACACACACAAAACUUGGCCAUGAAUGGUAUACAAGAAAUUAUAUAAGAAUUUUGUGUGCUAUCCUGACUUUCAGUAAUAAAAGUAUAAAUUGUUAAUACUCUUUGUGCAUAACAUUAAAUAAUAAAUCUCAGAAGUAUCAUUUAUGUUGCUUUUUUGGCAGUACAUUAAGAAGGACAUAUUAGUUUGGCUGUGAGACAAAUUCUUGGAUGUUAGAAACUAUUUCGAAUGCAUGUUACAAAUUCAAAAUUUACAUUCUUAUAUUUCUCUUGGUUUACAUAGUCGAUCUUUAAUAAGAUCGGAUAUUAAUUGCAUAAGC